GGGAGGCAGCAGUGAGGAAUCUUGCACAAUGGGCGAAAGCCUGACGCAGCGACGCCGCGUGAGCGAUGAAGGCCUUCGGGUUGUAAAGCUCUGUGGGGAGGGACGAAUAAGGGCAAGCUAAUAUCUUGCUCGAUGACGGUACCUCCUUAGCAAGCACCGGCUAACUCUGUGCCAGCAGCCGCGGUAAGACAGAGGGUGCAAACGUUGUUCGGAAUCACUGGGCGUAAAGCGCGUGUAGGCGGCUAAGUAAGUCGGACGUGAAAGCCCACGGCUCAACCGUGGAAGUGCGCUCGAAACUGCAUAGCUCGAGUCUUGGAGAGGAAGGCGGAAUACUUGGUGUAGAGGUGAAAUUCGUAGAUAUCAGGUAGAACACCAGUGGCGAGGGCGGCCUUCUGGACAAUGACUGGCGCUGAGACGCGAAAGCGUGGGGAGCAAACAGGAUUAGAUACCCUUGUAGUCC
rnacentral:rRNA from 1 species